rnacentral:rRNA from 1 species
CACGCACGCUGGCGGCAGGCCUAACACAUGCAAGUCGAGCGAGGACUUCGGUUCUAGCGGCGGACGGGUGAGUAACGCGUGGGAAUGUGCCCUUCUCUACGGAAUAGCCCUGGGAAACUGGGAGUAAUACCGUAUACGCCCUUUUGGGGAAAGAUUUAUCGGAGAAGGAUCAGCCCGCGUUGGAUUAGGUAGUUGGUGGGGUAAUGGCCUACCAAGCCGACGAUCCAUAGCUGGUUUGAGAGGAUGAUCAGCCACACUGGGACUGAGACACGGCCCAGACUCCUACGGGAGGCAGCAGUGGGGAAUCUUAGACAAUGGGGGCAACCCUGAUCUAGCCAUGCCGCGUGAGUGAUGAAGGCCUUAGGGUUGUAAAGCUCUUUCAGCUGGGAAGAUAAUGACGGUACCAGCAGAAGAAGCCCCGGCUAACUCCGUG